rnacentral:rRNA from 1 species
UACGUAGGGUGCGAGCGUUGUCCGGAAUUAUUGGGCGUAAAGAGCUCGUAGGCGGUGUGUCACGUCGUUCGUGAAAACCUGCAGCUUAACUGUGGGCGUGCGGUCGAUACGGGCAUCACUGGAGUUCGGCAGGGGAGACUGGAAUUCCUGGUGUAGCAGUGAAAUGCGUAGAUAUCAGGAGGAACACCGAUGGCGAAGGCAGGUCUCUGGGCUGACACUGACGCUCAUGCACGAAAGCGUGGGGAGCAAACAGG